UACAGGGGAUGCAAGCGUUAUCCGGAAUGAUUGGGCGUAAAGCGUCUGUAGGUGGCUCCUUAAGUCCGCUGUCAAAUCCCAGGGCUCAACCCUGGACAGGCGGUGGAAACUACUAAGCUGGAGUGCGGUAGGGGCAGAGGGAAUUUCCGGUGGAGCGGUGAAAUGCGUAGAUAUCGGGAGGAACACCUGUGGCGAAAGCGGCUCACUGGACCACAACUGACGCUGAGGCGCGAAAGCUAGGGGAGCAAACAGG
rnacentral:rRNA from 1 species